rnacentral:rRNA from 1 species
CGGGUAGGAGUAAUACAUAAGUAACCUGCCCUAGACGGGGGGAGUAACUAUUGGAAACGAUAGCUAAGACCGCAUAGGUACGGACACUGCAUGGUGACCGUAUUAAAAGUAGCCUCAAAGCACUGGUAGAGGAUGGACUUAUGGCGCAUUAGCUGGUUGGCGGGGUAACGGCCCACCAAGGCGACGAUGCGUAGCCGACCUGAGAGGGUGACCGGCCACACUGGGACUGAGACACGGCCCAG